rnacentral:rRNA from 1 species
AAUCAACGCUGGCGGCGUGCCUCAGACAUGCAAGUCGAACGCGAAAGUCCCCUUCGGGGGACAAGUAGAGUGGCGCACGGGUGAGUAACACGUAGGUAAUCUACCUUCGGGUGGGGAAUAACGCAGGGAAACUUGCGCUAAUACCGCAUAAUGCAGCGGCACCACAUGGUGACGGUUGUUAAAGCGGGGGAUUUUCGGACCUCGCGCCUGAAGAGGAGCCUGCGGCAGAUUAGCUAGUUGGUAAGGUAACGGCUUACCAAGGCGACGAUCUGUAGCCGGCCUGAGAGGGCGGUCGGCCACACUGACACUGACAUACGGGUCAGACUCCUACGGGAGGCAGCAGUCGGGAAUUUUGGGCAAUGGGCGAAAGCCUGACCCAGCAACGCCGCGUGAAGGAUGAAAUCCCUCGGGAUGUAAACUUCGCAAGAAUAGGAAGAAUGAACGAGCGCUAACACCGUUCGUGAUGACGGUACUAUUUGUAAGCUCCGGCUAACUCCGUGCCAGCAGCCG